GGGGGUGUUUGGUUUUGAUUGGAUGUUACAUUAUUGCGCGCAGGCUUGAGGUCUUGGGCCCUCAAUUAAAAAACCUAAGAAACUCAUAAGUGCCAAAACACUUUCAAGCAAGAUCAGCUCUUUCGGGAGCAAUUUUGCUUUCGCGACCGCUUAAUUAAGCUAUCGCCAUCGGCUCUUUGAUCCUCAAUAAAGGUUUGCCGGUGUCAACCAUUGAGGCCGGGCAAAUCGUUCGCUUUUGGCGGUUUGUCCUAAAUUUUCAAAAGCUUUAAGAAUAAAGAUUUUUCCUUUUUCAACUUUAUUCUUUAAACUCCAAAAAGGAUAUGCCUUGUAGAACGCAACAAUUACGCAUUCAAGACGCGGGUUCGAUUCCCGCCACCUCCACUC
rnacentral:tmRNA from 1 species